AUGAACGCUGGCGGCGUGCCUAAUACAUGCAAGUAGAACGCUGAAGGCGGAGCUUGCUCUUCUGGAUGAGUUGCGAACGGGUGAGUAACGCGUAGGUAACCUGCCUGGUAGCGGGGGAUAACUAUUGGAAACGAUAGCUAAUACCGCAUGACAACAGUUAUUGCAUGAUAACUGUUUAAAAGGGGCAACUGCUCCACUACCAGAUGGACCUGCGUUGUAUUAGCUAGUUGGUGAGGUAACGGCUCACCAAGGCGACGAUACAUAGCCGACCUGAGAGGGUGAUCGGCCACACUGGGACUGAGACACGGCCCAGACUCCUACGGGAGGCAGCAGUAGGGAAUCUUCGGCAAUGGACGGAAGUCUGACCGAGCAACGCCGCGUGAGUGAAGAAGGUUUUCGGAUCGUAAAGCUCUGUUGUAAGAGAAGAACGAGUGUGAGAGUGGAAAGUUCACACUGUGACGGUAUCUUACCAGAAAGGGACGGCUAACUACGUG
rnacentral:rRNA from 1 species